rnacentral:rRNA from 1 species
GACAGAGGGUGCAAACGUUGUUCGGAAUUACUGGGCGUAAAGCGCGUGUAGGCGGUCCGCUAAGUCGGGUGUGAAAGCCCUGGGCUCAACCCAGGAAGUGCACUCGAAACUGGCGGGCUAGAGUAUCGGAGAGGUUGGUGGAAUUCUCGGUGUAGAGGUGAAAUUCGUAGAUAUUCGCAAGAACACCAGUGGCGAAGGCGGCUCACUGGCCCGGUACUGACGCUGAGGUGCGAAAGCGUGGGGAGCAAACAGG